rnacentral:rRNA from 1 species
AUGACUCGAGGCUGGAGCGAAAUCGCUCGGGUUUGCAGGACAAGAGGCGCCUUCGCGAUCCACUUGGAGUACGACGGUGCUUCGGUGAUGUUCUUCAAGGUCUUCGAUGCGAACGGGCACCGGCUGGAGUGCUGCCCCGGGAGAGGUGGUCGAGACCCUGCUACAACGAGGACUGGGCCCGCCGACCACUCGCUUGGCGGCUGCUCAAGCGGCAGAGGCGUCGGAGGGUCUAGCGACUCCAGCGAGCUCUUCGCGACUCCGGAGACGAGCGAUGACAGCUACGAGCCCCCGAGCCGGCGCCGCUCCUGGAGCAGGGCGGGCUCGUCAGGCCGUCACCGACUCUGA